GGACUGGCUGCUCAGACUCCACAAUUUAAUGAAAAAUCUCAGAUGAUGACUCAGAAAACCUCUAAUGAUCUGAGGAAUAUAUUAAGGGAUUCCAGAGUCAAAGGCUGAUCAUGGAGGGCAUUGAUGAGGGAAGACUUCAGCACGUUUUUCAGCACCAGGACAAGCAUCAUUGCUCAAGGAGAGCUUGGUUGACAACAGGAAGUUAGAAGGAGUCUGAAUUGUAACAAGUGUGGCAAGAGCACCAAGAUCACUCUGUGUGUGUUCACAGAAAAUGUACCAAAGGGAGAGGCCUUAAAAACAAAUGGCAGGUGUGGGCACCAGAGAAUCAACACAUCAGGAAGAGAAAAAUGGCAUGGUUUUAGUGUAAUUGUAAAAAGACGCCCUAAAGAGUGUCUAUCGGAUCACCCUCAGGUUGGGUCAAACGCUCCUCUUCUCGGCUUUUCGGGAGCAACCCUAUCUCAACAUUCACCAUCUUAAGAUGAGCAGACUGCAAGUUUGCCUCUCCCACCAGCAUGGGAGCUGCCGAAGCGGCAAGAACAGCGUUUCCGUCCACCGAGCGCCAGGUCACCAGUCAGCUCCAGUCCUAUUUUGAGUUGAAGUAAAAGCUCCUCCCUAGAUGGCCAGUGCACGUCUUUAAAAAGCGACUCCUUUCCCACAAAGGAAAUACGACUGGUUCGCAUCUAUCAAGGGUUGGCGUUGGGAUAAGAGAGUGAAGUAUCAGCUGGCCCUGGACAAGGAGAUUCUCUGAAUUCCCGGACCCAAUAACGCGACCAAGCACCGUGACUCCCAGGAAAACUAGCGGAGUGAGCGCGGCGGAGGAAAUUACUGACACCGGAAGUCACGUGAGCGGCUGCCCCUAAGGUCGCUAUCUCGACAGUCGACUAUUCAGCCUCGCAGGCUCCUCUGGCGGGCUUCACU
rnacentral:antisense_RNA from 1 species